UAUUGAUUCCGUGAUUAUGAAGGAUAAACAUACGGGCCAGCCGAGGGGAUUUGGGUUCAUCACUUAUUCGGAUCCUUCUGUGGUUGACAAGGUCAUCGAGGACACCCAUGUCCUCAACGGGAAACAAGUUGAAAUCAAGAGAACCAUACCCAAAGGUGCAUCUUCACAGACUAAGGCUAUCAAGACAAAAAAAAUAUUUGUUGGUGGAAUCCCAACGACUGUGACUGAUGAUGAGCUCAAAAGUUUCUUUUCUAAGUAUGGGAAAGUGGUUGAGCAUCAGAUAAUACGGGACCAUGCAACCCAGCGGUCCCGUGGAUUUGGGUUCAUAAUAUUUGACUCUGAAGAAGUUGUG
rnacentral:misc_RNA from 1 species